CCUGUAUGAAGAUGAAAAAAAGAAAGGAGUUUUGCGGGAAGUAGUCUGCAGUCACUGGCUAGCUCACAACCUGUUGAAGAAGGUGUGUCCGACCCCUGAGUGGAGCUAAUUUCCAGACCCAGCCACAAGAAGGUGCCCAACAUGAGGAAAAACUGGGAAAAAAAUGAAUGUUGGAUCAAACUGAACUGACUCCUCCCCCCCACACCGAAACAAAAAAUCAUUUCGCUCAGGUCUACCUGUAUGCAGAUAAUAUGGUAUUGCAUCAUUACAUGACAUCAACACUCAUUAUGAUAUACAACCACCAAAGUCUUACUCCCCCACCCCUAAUUUGGUCUGUUUUAAGCCCUGAUUGUGGGGCCUAAUUCUGAUUUCACACACACCAGUAUAAACCAGGAGUAACUUCCCUGAAGUCACUGGAAUUAAAUAGCUGUCAAAUGGGUGCAAGAAAUCAGAAUCAGCCCCAUAGUGGUCCCUCAGUGUUCAGGGUCUGUGCUGAGUAAGGAGGACAUUUGGAAGGUAUGGACCCAGUUUGGCACAUAUUCAGUCUUGGCCCAUGUUGCCUCUAGAUCAUGUUUGUGUUUGUACCAUUGUUGUUCCCUGAACUUAAAGCAGUUUGUUCAUCCUGACAAUCCAGUGUGAUAUUCAGCAGCUUUUGUUAGAUUUGCCGUAAAAAGGAACUUAAAGCAUUUUUAGGGUUGAACUCCA